UCGGGAAUUUUGGGCAAUGGGCGAAAGCCUGACCCAGCAACGCCGCGUGAAGGAUGAAAUCCCUCGGGAUGUAAACUUCGCAAGAACGGGAAGAAUAAGUAAGGGUUAAUAUCUCUUACGAUGACGGUACUGUUUGUAAGCUCCGGCUAACUCCGUG
rnacentral:rRNA from 1 species